rnacentral:tRNA from 1 species
GGGGUUGUAGCUUAUUGGUAGAGUGCUUGCCUAACAGGCAGAAGACCGUGGGUUUGAUUCCCAGUACUUCA